rnacentral:rRNA from 1 species
UACAGAGGUCUCAAGCGUUGCUCGGAUUCAUUGGGCGUAAAGGGUGCGUAGGCGGCGCGGUAAGUCACCUGUGAAAUCUCUGGGCUCAACUCAGAGCUUGCAGUCGAAACUGCCGUGCUUGAGGGUGGGAGAGGUGCGUGGAAUUCCCGGUGUAGCGGUGAAAUGCGUAGAUAUCGGGAGGAACUCCUGUGGCGAAAGCGGCUCACUGGACCACAUCUGACGCUGAGGCGCGAAAGCUAGGGGAGCAAACAGG